GCCACCUAUAGACUUUUUUCGUAAGGGAUAAGCAUAGCCAACAAAACGUCUGGUUUGCCUAAUAAACUGUUGCACACUGGAAAAAAUGUAUCUAUUUUGAGCUAAUGACAAUCCAUCUUCACCACUUAGAAGUAUUCGUACUUUCGUUGAGUCUGAUUUCCUAUACCAGCUGUCACCUAAAAUUUCUAAUACAGCUGAGAGCAGAAUUAAUCUAGGAGCAGCAUAUCUUCGACAAUACAGAAAAUAAUGAAUUACAGAUUCACAAUAAAAACCGCAUUUACAAACUGGUGACGGAAUGCAGCUUAUUUUAAAUAAAUAAUAAUUAAGAGCACAGCAGUUUAAACGGAGCCGGGGAUGUAAAAUUGAGC
rnacentral:lncRNA from 1 species